GCCUCCCAACAAAACCUUACCAGCCGCGGCCCGCUGAAUCAUACAAACAACACGAAAUACACAGAAAUACACGAUAUACACCCUUCUCCUCUAUCUCUAUGGCAAGGCAAAUACCUUCACAUUCACUUAUACACUAUUCGCGACUUGUAAUAGCUAAUAAUUGACGGAAAAACAUCCUUCACUAUCAGCUGGCCUCGCCACAAACCGCGGCCCGCUAAACCAUUCAAACACUAGACAAUACAAAAUAUAUAGAGGAACAUCCUUCAUUUUCUUACCCAUCUCCAUAUCAAUACAAACAUCACACAUAUAUCAGAACAUCAAAGGAAACUUGCAGAAAUGUAGAAACUCGUCAUAACUACCAAACGAGCCGAACAACACCGCCCCUCCCCCCUCAUUAACCCCCACUUGAAACAACCGGACCACAGUCUGCAAAAAUAUCUAAAUACGACGCAAUACAUUAAUAUACACGACUUUUACCUGUCUCUUCAUCAAGAUCAGUCAUUCAUACAUAUUUUGACAUCAAUAUACACUUGUACAUUACCUGAGGAGGCAGUACGGGGCUGAAUAUAACAGAACGAGUGGCUACGUGCGGCGCAGCAGGCAGCUGGCGGGAACAGCAGGACCGCAGGGCGGCGCCAAGACCCCACUCUGUACAAGGGAAUGACGCAGGACGGAGACGGAGUUACAUUCUUGUGAAUUUCUCCAGUUGUUCGUGCUCCAGAGCUAUUUCACGGUGUCCAGAGGAGGCGAGGUACACCAGCACCCUUGUGAAGUACAAGUGCAACGUAAAGAAAAGGAGAAAGGUGUCUUGUUCCUCUGCCCGCCAACACGAUGCUGCGAUUACGAGUCACUGGACGUGGAGGCGACGGAGACAUCGAGAGAGAGAGAGAGAACAAGACUCCGGCAUUGAUAUCGGUCUAUCGCCGCGCCUUGAGGGAAGAACUCAUGUGCACAGGCAAUACGGCACAUCAAGGAGCAGGAAGCCGCGCCCCACCGGUUACCUUCAAACGCCAGGCGGAUAUUUCCAUCGCCAUCCUUGUCUAAUUUCCUGGACGACACACGCAGGCUUUGUGACGAGGUGAAUGUUACGCAACGCAGAAUAGAUGACAGCUAAUUACAUUUCUGAAUUAUCAUUACUUGGAUUUCAUAUGACGCCAUACUUCUAAUGUACGAAUGAAUGUUUUUUUCUCUCUCUCUUUUAGUCUGCGUCUCUUCAUCUCGCAUAAUCCAUUGAGUACCACGUAUAGAGAUUCUGUUAAUUAAUUUCUCCAUUGGUUGUUCUUGAAAUUCUAUUGAAAUUCAACCUUGCAACUUUCCUAAAUGUGAUGCGAGGGAAUUUGAGACUAGCAAGGAUUAUUAAACGACAUUAUUACU